rnacentral:misc_RNA from 1 species
GAUAUUUGUUAUUAGAGGUUCCCUAAAUGAAUAAGAACACGAGAAAUUUAGAAAACAUUUAAAAUGCAAAAUGGAAUUUCCUAGUUGGUUUGAUUACAGAGCUGAAUCUCUGAAAUAUGAACAAAAGACACAAAUAAACGUAAACCAGAAAGAUCUAAUCAGAAAAAGCCAUUUUUCCUCAGAAUAUGAACAAUAGUAAUUUCUUGCCUCAUUAGUUAGCAAAUUUUUAGAGAAAUAUUUCAUAACACCAACAAAUAUUAUAGCUGGCAGAGUGGAUUUAUCGGACAUGUUACCCUUGCUGAAAUUGUUCCAUGAAAAGGAAUUGAUUUAGAGAUGAUAAACAGGUUAACUUUAGGAAGAUGUAGGCAAGUUCAAGUUAUAACAAAUAAGAGCCAUCAAUCAGGUCUCAGCACCAACUAAAAGAGACCAGAUAAUUAGCAGUGAAAAAAAGAGAGAGAGAGAGAGA